AAAUUUUCGACUGCAUGUAACAGCCUUCGUCAGAAACUAAGUCUUAGUUUCUGACGAAGGCUGUUACAUGCAGUCAAAAAUUU